GCUCCCGUAGCUCAAGUGGAUAGAGCAGCGGAUUUCUAAUCCGCGGAUCUGGGUUCGAUUCCCGGCGGGGGUACCA
rnacentral:tRNA from 1 species